AGGAGCAACAGCCCCAGUGGCGGGGCCAGCUCUGGAGACCUGGAUUCAGCCCCCACAGUAACUCCGGAGCUCUCAGUCUGCAGGGCCUCGAGGUUCCGGGGCGGG
rnacentral:pre_miRNA from 1 species